GUCCACAUUAUGUUGAAACACAGGUUCCCGUAUGAUCACCAAGUUAAGAAACGUUGAGCCUGGUCAAUACAUAGAUGGGUUACCGCUUGGGAAUGCCAAGUGCUGUAA